rnacentral:rRNA from 1 species
GACGAACGCUGGCGGCGUGCUUAACACAUGCAAGUCGAACGGAAAGGCCCUGCUUUUGUGGGGUGCUCGAGUGGCGAACGGGUGAGUAACACGUGAGUAACCUGCCCUUGACUUUGGGAUAACUUCAGGAAACUGGGGCUAAUACCGGAUAGGAGCUCCUGCUGCAUGGUGGGGGUUGGAAAGUUUCGGCGGUUGGGGAUGGACUCGCGGCUUAUCAGCUUGUUGGUGGGGUAGUGGCUUACCAAGGCUUUGACGGGUAGCCGGCCUGAGAGGGUGACCGGCCACAUGGGGACUGAGAUACGGACCAGACUCCUACGGGAGGCAGCAGGGGGGAAUAUUGCACAAUGGGCGGAAGCCUGAUGCAGCAACGCCGCGUGCGGGAUGACGGCCUGCGGGUUGUAAAACGCUUUCGCCGGUGACGAAGCGUGAGUGACGGUAAUGGGUAAAGAAGCACCGGCUAACUACGUG